ensembl:lncRNA LINC00354 long intergenic non-protein coding RNA 354
GGAGCACGGGGACGCCGGCCUGGGGUGUAGGUCUGGGAGCAGUCGGCCGUCAGCUUCCCAGAGACCGUGACAAAAGACAUCAUUCUACGCUGCACAAAAGCAGCCAGAGGCGGCCUCUCCCACGCUCCGGGAGCGAAGGGAAUGAUCUGGCUAGAGAGCAGCACUCCAGGGUGACUCCGUCCUGCUGUCUAACCGGCCUCCGGCAGAGUGGCAGAUCAUCUGACUCUCUGAACCACUCUGAACAUCAGUCUCUUCAUCUCUAAAUGAGGGUGCUGGCCGUGUGGAUCCGCAGGGGUAUCCUGAGGUUUGCCACGUACAAAAAGCUUAGGACAGUAAAUACUAAUAGGCUGGUGCAAAAUAAAUUGCGUUUUUGUCACUAAAAAAAAGUAGCAAAACCCGCAAUUAUUUUCCACCAACCUAAUAUUAAAUGUGAGUGACUGGGUCAACUUGAUGCAGCUUUCUGAUCCCUGCUCAACCUGCGACCAGCUUCUAGAAGGACAGGAGUGGCCUGUGGCCGUGGGUCUUAAGGGCAAGAGAACAACAGAGAGAUGUUUCUGGCCCCUCUUGUGUGAAAUGAAGACUUUUUAAUGUGAAUGUAGAAGUAAGUCUUGGGAGCAAAAACAAAAUCAGACCCUGGAGAAUGGCAGAAACUCCAAAGGAGUUGAAUGCUGGAGAACCCCAGGCGAAGUUAAAUCAACUCGACAGAAGAGCACAGACAUGUGAUGGGGCACCAGGUGGACAUGGACUCCAUGGAAGCCUGAGCUGCCAGGGGCUUCCCUGGGGCAGCACUGCUUCGCGUAGGCUCACGAGAAACUUCCAGGGUUCCUGGCGCCAGCCUUUCAACAGAGCAGCACAUUAUGCCUGGAUAAGACUCAAAGAGCAGCUUAAUAUCAGGUUCUCUGGGGCUGUAAUCAUCGGUUCAGGAUGGAGCAGACACAGCCGCAGCAAGGCCUCUGUGCAGCCCCCGGUUUAAAACACAUCAACGCAUCCGUGGGCACUUUUGUGAGUUAAAGCUCAACUUACACAUCUGCCUGUAUCCAUAGGAAAUGAAUGAAAAUAAACAAACAAAUUCCUUGCAUUCAACGCAGCGUAAGAAAAAUCACAUCCUGUUCCCCAGUAGCUGAGGAAAGCCGGCUCACGAGAGUAUACAGGGAGAAGAGGCCAGCAUUGUGUGGCUGCCAGCAAAGCUCACUUGUAUGUCAAAUGCAGCGCUUUUCUUAGCCCA